rnacentral:lncRNA from 1 species
AAAAGUAAAAUAAAGGCUGGAGAGAUGGCUCAGCGGUUAAGAGCAAUGACUGCUCUUCUGGAGGUCCUGAGUUCAAUUCCCAGCAACCGCAUGGUGGCUCACAACCAUCUGUAAUGGGAUCAGAUGCCUUCUUCUGGUGUUUCUGAAGAUAGCUACAGUGUACUCUACAUAAAAUAGAUAAAAAGAAUUCUUAAAAAAAUAAGAUAAAAAUAAAUAAAUAAAAUAAGAUACAGCGCUUUAGCCCUGGAUCAGACUCAGUGAGAAGGUUUGGAUCAGGGUUGUUCUGUGAUUUUGUAACAUCAACAGGUGGGGCCCUGCUCCUAGGAAACAACUGCAGUCUGCACAAAGUUCAUGACCCCCCCCACCUUCCCAGAGGCCUGCUGACCCCCAAAGUAGGAUCCGUCAGUGAGGCGAGUGUCCCGGGCGCCCCGUGCCAACACACUGAGCAGCCCAUGCUGGAUGAAGUACAUCUUCCUGCCCACGGAGCCCUCACGCACCACCAGAUCCCCAGGUUGGAAGACCUCAAAACGGAGCUUGGUAGCACCUCCAGAAGCCCAGGUCCUAGAAGAGCCCUUCCCACAAGGUCCAGCCCGGCCCCACCUCCCGAAGCGGCUCGCUCAGCUCCCCCAGGAUGCUCUCUUCAUCGAACAUCUUGCCCUGGUACCGAUGCUCGUAGUACUCGUGGAUGCGCUGCCGUGUGUCGGC